rnacentral:rRNA from 1 species
GACGUAGGGGGCAAGCGUUGUCCGGAGUUACUGGGCGUAAAGCGCCCGCAGGCGGUCGUUCGCGUUUGUGCUGACAGCCCCGGGCUUCACUCGGGGAGCGGUGCAAAAACGGGACGACUGGAGCGUGAGAGAGGAACCUGGAACUCCCGGUGGAGCGGUGAAAUGCGUAGAGAUCGGGAAGAACACCAAAGGCGUAGGCAGGGUUCUGGCUCACGGCUGACGCUCGGGGGCGACAGCGAGGGGAGCGAACGGG